rnacentral:rRNA from 1 species
AGAUUGAACGCUGGCGGCAUGCCUUACACAUGCAAGUCGAACGGCAGCACGGGGGCAACCCUGGUGGCGAGUGGCGAACAGGUGAGUAACAUAUCGGAACGUGCCCUGGGAGUGGGGGAUAACUAGUCGAAAGAUUAGCUAAUACCGCAUACGAUCUGCGGAUGAAAGGUGGGGGAUCGCAAGACCUCAUGCUCGUGGAGCGGCCGAUAUCUGAUUAGCUAGUUGGUGGGGUAAAGGCCUACCAAGGCAUCGAUCAGUAGCUGGUCUGAGAGGACGACCAGCCACACGUGGGACUGAGACACGGCCCAGACUCCGUACGGGAGCAGCGAGUGGGGAAUUUGGA